GACGAACGCUGGCGGCGUGCUUAACACAUGUAAGUCGAACGGAAAGGCCCUGCUUUUGUGGGGUGCUCGAGUGGCGAACGGGUGAGUAACACGUGAGUAACCUGCCCUUGACUUUGGGAUAACUUCAGGAAACUGGGGCUAAUACCGGAUAGGAGCUCCUGCUGCAUGGUGGGGGUUGGAAAGUUUCGGCGGUUGGGGAUGGACUCGCGGCUUAUCAGCUUGUUGGUGGGGUAGUGGCUUACCAAGGCUUUGCCGGGUAGCCGGCCUGAGAGGGUGACCGGCCACAUUGGGACUGAGAUACGGCCCAGACUCCUACGGGAGGCAGCAGUGGGGAAUAUUGCACAAUGGGCGGAAGCCUGAUGCAGCAACGCCGCGUGCGGGAUGACGGCCUUCGGGUUGUAAACCGCUUUCGCCUGUGACGAAGCGUGAGUGACGGUAAUGGGUAAAGAAGCACCGGCUAACUACGUG
rnacentral:rRNA from 1 species